AGGGUUGUGCAGCUAUUAUUCUGUGUUUUUUUCAUCAUCAACAGUACAGGCUGACCCUACGAGUAACGACAGUUUUAGCAACAAAUGUUUUAGCGCCUCGUCUUGCAACUGUAGUUGAUACUCUAGGGUUUUAUGUUUUAAAUUGGAUUUCAACUGUUUGAGAUCAAAGGAAAAACUAGAUGGCGUUGACGUGCGUCUAUGAUAAUUGAUAAAUAUUACGAGUGACAAGUUAAAUUGGUGUUUAUUACGUUUCUACCCUGUUCAGUGUUUCAAAGGAUUUUUCAUCAAAUAUUAACGGUGGAUUGUCACCAGACAUCCUUUGAAUGGUACGCCCACUAUCAGCAGCCUUAUAGUGUGCUUCAUAAAUAUGUCAACCCCUGAGAUGACAUUAUCCUUGGAAAUUGUGUUUUUGUUGUGGUUUUCUUCUCCACUUCUAUUCUUUGUUACCUUCAUGGUGUGAUAUUGUAUCAUCCUGGAAAAAGGAAUCUGGAAAUUGAUGAUUUCUAAUAUACAGCUGGUGUUCAGAUGAUGAGUUUAAUAUAUUUACAUUUUGGAAUGAACUUUCAAUUGGAAGUUGAGUGUUUUAUCAGAUUAUUGAAUCCUACUUUGAAAACCAAACUAUUUCCUUCUACAAAUGGAUUUUGAAGUAUUGUACAUAUGGUAUUAUGUACUC